rnacentral:rRNA from 1 species
UACGUAGAGGGCAAGCGUUGUCCGGAUUUAUUGGGCGUAAAGAGCGUGUAGGCGGCCAUGUAGGUCCGUUGUGAAAACUCGAGGCUCAACCUCGAGACGCCGAUGGAAACCAUGUGGCUAGAGUCCGGAAGAGGAGAGUGGAAUUCCUGGUGUAGCGGUGAAAUGCGCAGAUAUCAGGAAGAACACCCGUGGCUAAGGCGGCUCUCUAGUACGGUACUGACGCUGAGACGCGAAAGCGUGGGGAGCGAACAGG